UACGGAGGGGGCAAGCGUUAUUCGGAAUUAUUGGGCGUAAAGGGCGCGUAGGCGGCUAGAUGUGUCAAAGGUGAAAUCCCUCGGCUCAACUGAGGAACUGCCUUUGAAACUGUCUGGCUUGAGGCCGGGAGAGGGUAGCGGAAUUCCCAGUGUAGCGGUGAAAUGCGUAGAUAUUGGGAGGAACACUAGUGGCGAAGGCGGCUACCUGGACCGGUUCUGACGCUGAGGCGCGAAAGCGUGGGUAGCAAACAGG
rnacentral:rRNA from 1 species